UUGACAAUCCAUUUUGUAUGCCCAGGUUAACAGUUUGGGUUAUGAGCUAGUUUUAUUCAUAGGGUUAAGCAUUAAUUUUGAAGUUGCUAAUGGUGAGGAAAUCAGACUUGUUACUUCUGGGUCAGUUAAUGGCCUUCCUUAUUUUUACCACAGGUGACAUUCCAAGGAAAUGUCCCAGAUUUGCAGUCUGAUGGCGAACUGUCAUCCACACUACCAGAUGAAGAUCGAGACACCGGAAAUAAAAAUGAGGAAUUGCUCCCAGUACCUGGAAUUGUUCUUGCGCAAGCAGAGGAAGGACAGGAAGUACUGGUGGCCAAAAGACAAGUGAACACGGAAGAGGAGGAGAAGGUAGAAGAUGAAGAAGAAGAGGAAAAGAGGGAACAUAGAGAAGAAGAGGAGAAGGAACAUACCAGUAGUAAACUUGAAAGGAAAAGGAAAAAGAAGGACAGAAGAACAACAGCAAAAAGAAAAAAGGAAAAGGAGGACAGUUGUUAAAAAAAAGGAUUUUAAAGGGACCCUGGUCAGCUGCACUUUUGUUUUUGUUUACCUUUGGAUUUUCAAUUUUUCAGAAACUGAUGUACAAGUUGUUACUUUU